rnacentral:rRNA from 1 species
CAAGUAGGCGGUCUAAUAAGUGGGGGGUGAAAUACUCCGGCUCAAUCGGAGAACAGCCUUCCAAACUGCUAGACUUGAGUAUGACAGAGGAAAAUGGAAUUCUUGGUGUAAGGGUGAAAUCUGUAGAUAUCAAGAAGAACACCAGCUGCGAAGGCGAUUUUCUGGGUCAUUACUGACGCUAAAUUGCGAAAGCUAGGGGAGCAAACAGAAUUAGAUACUCUGGUAGUCCUAGCCGUAAACGAUGAGCACUAGGUGUCGGGUCCUUUAGGAUUCGGUGCCGCAGCUAACGCAUUAAGUGCUCCACCUGGGGACUACGGUCGCAAGGCUAAA